rnacentral:rRNA from 1 species
GAUCAUGGCUCAGGAUGAACGCUGGCGGCGUGCCUAACACAUGCAAGUCGAACGAAGCAUACGGACCGGAGAUUCGUCGAAGGACCGUAUGACUUAGUGGCGGACGGGUGAGUAAUGUAUGAGCAACCUGCCUUUCAGAGGGGGACAACAGUUGGAAACGACUGCUAAUACCGCGUAACGUAUCGUGGGGGCAUCCUCAUGAUACCAAAGGAGCAAUCCGCUGAAAGAUGGGCUCAUAUCUGAUUAGCUUGUUGGCGGGGUAACGGCCCACCAAGGCGACGAUCAGUAGCCGGACUGAGAGGUUGAACGGCCACAUUGGGACUGAGAUACGGCCCAGACUCCUACGGGAGGCAGCAGUGGGAAUAUUGGGCAAUGGGCGAAAGCCUGACCCAGCCAACGCCGCGUGAAGGAAGAAGGUCUUCGGAUUGUAAACUUCUUUUAUGAGGGACGAAGGACGUGACGGCACCUCAUGAAUAAGCCACGGCUAACUACGUGCCAGCAGCUGC